GGGGGAAGAGGAAGUUCCCUGUGCUCCCAGGGCAAGGAGAGGCCCUGAACAAGAUCAUCCCUGAGCCAAGUGAGGCAAUACCUGCCUGGACUCUUUUGUGUGCUGUCUGGGGGAGGUUUUCCAGAGCCUGGCGUAGCUGGGUCUGGCAGGGAGGUCUAGUUAGUGGGUGAUUAGGCUGGUCAGUUUAGACCAGCAUAGUUAAGUUAGAGAGGGCUCCAAUUGGGAGCUAGGUUUUCGUUUUAUGAUUUGGUUUUGGGGUUUGAGCGAUUAAAAAUAAAGCGCUAUUUUGUUCAAAGCUGCUGUUCCUGACUCUGAUUGCCCUAGAGGACUGUGCUUAGGACCCCUAAAAAGUGACAUAAUGCGGGCAAAGCACUGCUAUGGUCUGUGGGCAGAAAGCAGGAACCAA